rfam:TPA: Bos taurus chromosome 10, whole genome shotgun sequence.
UGGCUCAGAGGUUAAAGCAUCUGCCUGGAAUGCGGGAGACCCGGGUUCGAUCCCUGG